rnacentral:misc_RNA from 1 species
GAUAUUAUUAUCAUAGGACCUCAGAAUGGUUCCAGUCCCUGAACCUGUCGCAUGUACCAGAGCACAGUAUACCAGUUUACCAGUUUAGAUAGCAGGACUUGACUCACUCUGUUUUUUAUGUACAUGUAUAUAGAAUUCAUCAUACAAUUUACAUACAAUGUAUGGACUUCAUUGUUAAAUUUGUUGUCAUAUUUACCUGUACAUAUUUUGUUGUCAUAUAUACCUGUAUAUAUAUUUUAGGGAAUUUUACUGAUUAUGAUGAGGAUUUUUUAUGGUUAGUGUCGAAAAUACUGCAUGAAAUCUAAAUAUAUCCUUAUUUAUGAAUUGUUUUAUUGUAAUAAAGAGCUUUUUAGGAGAUACGUACCUAAAUUGCAUUUUGAAG